CUACUACUCCCUCCGUCCGAAAAUACUUGUCAUUGAAAUGGAUGUAUCUAGAUGUAUUUUAGUUCUAGACACAUCCAUUUUGAUGACAAGUAAUUCCGGACAAAGGGAGUAUUAU
rnacentral:pre_miRNA from 1 species